rnacentral:rRNA from 1 species
GACGAACGCUGGCGGCGUGCUUAACACAUGCAAGUCGAACGCUGAAGCUCAGCUUUUGUUGGGUGGAUGAGUGGCGAACGGGUGAGUAACACGUGAGUAACCUGCCCCCUUCUUUGGGAUAACGCCCGGAAACGGGUGCUAAUACUGGAUAUUCACUGGUCUUCGCAUGGGGGUUGGUGGAAAGGGUUUUUCUGGUGGGGGAUGGGCUCGCGGCCUAUCGGCUUGUUGGUGGGGUGAUGGCCUACCAAGGCUUUGACGGGUAGCCGGCCUGAGAGGGUGAACGGUCACAGUGGGACUGAGAUACGGCCCAGACUACUACGGGAGGCAGCAGUGGGGAAUAUUGCACAAUGGGCGCAAGCGUGAUGCCGCGACGCUGCGGGAGGGAUGGAGGCCUUCGGGUUGUGAACCUCUUUCGCUAAUGGUCAAGCCGCAACAAUGGUUGUGGUGAGGGUAGUGGGUAAAGAAGCGCCGGCUAACUACGUG